GCGACGAUGAUGACGGUAGCGGGAGAAGAAGCCCCGGCUAACUCCGUGCCAGCAGCCGCGGUAAUACGGAGGGGGCUAGCGUUGUUCGGAAUUACUGGGCGUAAAGCGCACGUAGGCGGCGCCGCAAGUCAGGGGUGAAAUCCCGGGGCUCAACCCCGGAACUGCCCUUGAAACUGCAGUGCUAGAAUCCUGGAGAGGCGAGUGGAAUUCCG
rnacentral:rRNA from 1 species